rnacentral:rRNA from 1 species
UACAGAGGAUGCAAGCGUUAUCCGGAAUGAUUGGGCGUAAAGCGUCCGCAGGCGUCUUGCUAAGUCUCCGGUGAAAUCUCCGGGCUUAACUCGGAAAUUGUCGGGGAAACUAGCAGGAUAGAGUCUGACAGAGGCAGAUGGAAUGCUUGGUGUAGCGGUAAAAUGCGUUGAUAUCAAGCAGAACACCAGUGGCGAAAGGCGAUCUGCUGGGUCAGUACUGACGCUCAGGGACGAAAGCGUGGGUAGCGAACGGG